UACGGGGGGGCAAGCGUUGUUCGGAAUUACUGGGCGUAAAGCGUGCGCAGGCGGUUGUGCAAGACAGAUGUGAAAUCCCCGGGCUACAACCUGGGAACUGCAUUUGUGACUGCACGGCUAGAGUGUGUCAGAGGGGGGUAGAAGUUCCAACGUGUAGCAGUGAAAUGCGUAGAGAUGUGGAGGAAUACCGAUGGCGAAGGCAGCCCCCUGGGAUAG
rnacentral:rRNA from 1 species